rnacentral:rRNA from 1 species
UACGUAGGGUGCGAGCGUUAAUCGGAAUUACUGGGCGUAAAGCGUGCGCAGGCGGAUGCUUAAGCCAGACGUGAAAUCCCCGGGCUUAACCUGGGAAUGGCGUUUGGAACUGGGCGUCUAGAGUGCGGCAGAGGGAGGUGGAAUUCCACGUGUAGCAGUGAAAUGCGUAGAGAUGUGGAGGAACACCGAUGGCGAAGGCAGCCUCCUGGGCUGACACUGACGCUCAUGCACGAAAGCGUGGGGGGCAAACAGG